rnacentral:rRNA from 1 species
CCUACGGGAGGCAGCAGUAGGGAAUCUUCCGCAAUGGACGAAAGUCUGACGGAGCAACGCCGCGUGAACGAUGAAGGCUUUCGGGUCGUAAAGUUCUGUUGUCAGGGAAGAACAAGUACUGGAGUAACUGCCGGUACCUUGACGGUACCUGACCAGAAAGCCACGGCUAACUACGUGCCAGCAGCCGCGGUAAUACGUAGGUGGCAAGCGUUGUCCGGAAUUAUUGGGCGUAAAGCGCGCGCAGGCGGUUCCUUAAGUCUGAUGUGAAAGCCCCCGGCUCAACCGGGGAGGGUCAUUGGAAACUGGGGAACUUGAGUGCAGAAGAGGAGAGCGGAAUUCCACGUGUAGCGGUGAAAUGCGUAGAGAUGUGGAGGAACACCAGUGGCGAAGGCGGCUCUCUGGUCUGUAACUGACGCUGAGGCGCGAAAGCGUGGGGAGCGAACAGGAUUAGAUACCCUGGUAGUCCACGCCGUAGACGAUGAGUGCUAAGUGUUAGAGGGUUUCCGCCCUUUAGUGCUGUAGCAAACGCAUUAAGCACUCCGCCUGGGGAGUACGGCCGCAAGGCUGAAACUCAAAGGAAUUGACGGGGGCCCGCACAAGCGGUGGAGCAUGUGGUUUAAUUCGAAGCAACGCGAAGAACCUUAC